CUCAAAUUUUCGGCAUUAGAAAAUACACGUCUAACCAAUCAUUCAAGCAUAGAGAGACAAAUUAACACAAACCACAUGCAAAGACAAAACUUGAACUCUUCUCUCAGACAUAACAACUAUCUUUAAAAAUAGAUGCCUCUACUGCGUGACAGGUAAGUUGUAUAACACCUUGAAAGUUACAUAUGCCACAUACUUGUUAGAGCCAGUAAAUAUGACAAGUAGUUUACAAGUAUACAUUAUGCAGAAAACGCUCGAAUUAAAUGUUAGGAUUAUAUAAAGGGAAAGAAACACAUAAGAAAAAGAAACAUUUUCCAGGUGCAUGAAAUGGCUACGAGUACAGAUCUAGAACUUAAUAAUGAAAAUUGCUGCAAUUGAACUCGAUCUUCAAGCAAUAAGUUGGGUAUAAUUGAUGGAAAAAGCAGGGGAAAGAGAGGGAACAGUUAGUCACGCACAUAAGAAGACGUACUCUUGCUGAAGAACUCAAAAUACCAUGAUAACAAUUUACUGAUUCUUUCUUGAGGAAAACUAUAAAAUAGAAGACACACAAUUUACACACUCUUUUUAGAAAUUUUUUAUGAGUUGGCAAUUAAAAUACAUUUUGAGAUCUGAUGAUAUCAGAAAAAGUCAUAAGCAGAUUUACAAUAGGAUAGUUACAGUUCGAAAAAUAUGAAUAAGAGAAGCAAAAAGUCAAAUCGGCAUAGUUUGCCAAGGUAGACGGGUUUGAUAUCAUGAUAUACAACAGAUCACAUAAUCUUGACACAGAAACAAUAUGGAAACCUAGAUGUCAUAACUAACAUGAUUCAGCCCAGCCUUGAAAAAAGGCAGCAAACAUAUCUAGUUUAAAAGAAUAUUCCAUGCAUGAACUCCAAGAAGCAAUAAAAAUGUGAUGAGGUAAUCUUACCCGAGUCUCCUCAGUACUCUUUUCCUUGCUUUCAGUUCAUCUUUGAAAGCCAAGGCUGAUGAAGAACGCAUUGUUUUCCUUAUUGAUUUGAUUUUGGCUGUAAGUUCCUUUUUUUUGUGCAGAACUGUGAGCUUUUGCUCAAUCAGCAGAGACUUUGCAAUUUCAUGCUUUUCAAACAGGUUCUCCAAGGCUUCUAUCCUUCGUACUGCCUUCUUAAAUGAGCCGCUUUGAACCUGAAGAUAAGAUGUCAACAACAAGUUAAAAGAAUGAAGUGUCUCAAAAGCUACAGUGGAAGAAAAUAUUCCACUCACUUUCAUGUCAUCUUCAGGAUCUAAGAGAGGUAAGCCUCCUUUUGCAAAUCUGGAGAGAACUUCAGACACUUUCUUGAGUGUAUUUUCUCGAGCUUCCAAUGGCAAAAGAUCUUUUGGUAUUAUUAACCGAACACUACUUAAACUGUCAAUCUGCCAAGAAAAAAUCGGGACAUAAUUUGAUUAUAUAUAACAGGAAAGAAAGAAGUCACAAAUCUUGACAAUAAUAGUUAACAUCUAUGCAUAUGAAAAAAAAGUAGACAGGAAAUUGAUUUAUGUACAUAUAAAGAGUCCUUUCUUGCCCUCACCUGUGAUGAUAUUCUUCAGUAAUCUCUAUAAUCUUUGACAUCAUGGAUGAAAAAUUAUAGUUUUAGUCAUUACAAUAGUUACCAAUUUAGUAAAUCUUAUGUCAUGACAAAGAUCUUAACCAAGCUUCCCAAGUGUUACAGAUUGUCAUUGUUACUUAUUUUCUAAAAAAUAUUCAAGAAAUAAUCCCAGCUUUAUGCAAUAAGAGAUCAAACACAUGAGAAGAAAUUUAAGAAUACUAGUGUAGUCAAGACUUUGCCUGCGAAAUAGGAACAGAAAUAACAGCUGGUUCUCCAGGGUCCUUCAGUGGGACGAUCUUGAUUAUUUUUUUAGCCACUUCGUCUUUAUGCACUCUACAUCUCGUGAGAACGUCCACUGUAUAGUUCGCAUCCUCUGCCUUUUUAUUCACAUCAUCUAAAUAAUACAUUGAAAAUUAGUGACAACUGGAUUUAAUGAAUAAGGAGGUCUCAAGCCUUAGCGGGCAGUCAUCUUACCUUCAGAAAGCCCUGUAACCCUUUCAAAAUUGAUUAUAACCCCCCAUGUGACCUCAUCCUUGAUUGAGAAUGAUGAGGAAGACUCAUCAUUCUUUGUACAUUGAAUGCAUACAAGCCUUCCUGGCUGUAGAAAGGGUAAACAGUAUUUUGGAGAGAAUACAAUAUCACGGACAUCCUUCUUCAAAAUUUUAUAUUGUUGUAGCAGAGAGUAAUAAUUUUCCAAGCUAUCUUCUUCUUCAAUUAUAAUUGAAUCCCUUUCCUCUUCAAGAACUUUUGCUUGUUUCUGCAAGUAUAAAUUCCUUAAAUACUAACAUAGAUUACAUAUUCUAGAAAUUGGGCAAAGUCUGGAAGGAAAGCAUACACAUCAGAUCAAUAAACUGACCUCAAGAUCAGGAAUAGCUCGGUCUGCUUGAAAUUGAUAAAAUGAAUUACGGAGUAAAUUUUCAGGAUCACCAUCUUCAGAUCGAAUUUGAUUCAGAAGCAUGUUGUAGCUUAAAUGAAAUGCGCUGAAAUGCAAGAGAACAAGCCAUGAGAAAAAAGUCAUCAUCCAUACAAUUAAUAUACAUUAGACAUUAAUAUUUUGGAAUGGCGUUUUUCACAGGAAAAUGUGUUGAUAUUGCAAAAGUAAUAGUCCUCGUCACUAAAUUUAUGUUGCCUCGUGCUCAGAGCUCACUCCAGAAUUCUUGAUUAGCCAUAAUUUUUCUUUUAAGAAUAUAUCAUGUAAUUGAUGUAAAAGCCAAACAGGAAUAUAACUUCAUCAUUAACAUUACUCAAGAUGCUUUAUGCUCAACGCCUUAUUAGGAGAACAAAAGUUUCAAAUGGGUACCUAUUCAAAGGAUCAGCACUUCCUUUUAACAUCAUUUUAGCUGUAGAAGGUUCUAGCUUCUCAUCAACCAUGAGAAUGCAGAUACCACGUUCAUCAAUUCCUCGACGACCAGCCCGACCACUCAUCUGUAUGUACUCUCCGCUGGAUAUCCAUCUAAAUUUAUUGCCAUCAAAUUUGCGAACAUUAGUGAAGACGACAGUUUUUGCUGGCAUGUUCAAUCCUAUGCUGAAGGUCUCUGUGGCAAAUAAACACUAAAAGAAAUUGAUUCAAUAAGACUACACGCAUGUGCAUAACAUAAAAGAUACUUGGAAGAACGUGAGGUUCUGUUGUUUGUUCUCCCGCCAAGGGGUGAAGGGGUGUUGGGUGUAAUGAAGCCAAAAAGAAUAAAUAAGUAAUUAAUCAUUGCUAAAAUCAUUGAACAGAGGGCCUGUCACUCCCGAUAUAAUUAUCAAUUUGACAAAUUUAUACUACUAGAAGUUUCGACACCAGAUUCUUAAUCAAAUUUUUAAACCAUAAGGAAACUUGAUAGAAGGUUAUGGUGGAGAAGGCAUCAAAUAUAAACAUAAUUAACGAACUAGUCCUCGCUUUUUACCGUUCUAGAAAAAUCGGUGAAACGCUAAUUUGGAGUAUGGAAUUUAACGAUAUUAAAAAAUGUAGCACGUACAAGCAGCAAAGCAGGGAGUAAAUAUGAUUUAGUAAGUAUUCUUCUGCCAACCUUGAUGAAUCCUUCCUGGAAUAGGAUUUCAAUGACUUCCUUCAGUAUGGGAAGUAAUCCAGAAUGAUGCACGCCGAUUCCUCGUUUUAAUAUAGGCAGCAAAUUUGAUACCUGGGAUUAUUAAAAAAAAGAAGACAAAAAAGUUAGGCUAUACAUUAAUGAGAAAUGAAAUAUUGGCAUAUUUCCCAAAAGUCAUAAUAAGAUGAAAAUCACUCCACGUAUUAAUAAAGUAAGAAACAUCUUACCUGAGGCAACUUCUUAUCAUCAUCUGAUAGCAUGUCCAUGGCACUCCAGAAAAUGGUUUCAACGUUCACUUUCUCAUUGUCAUCGUUUAGAUCCAUUUUAGCCAUCUAUGGAGGAAGAAUAUUAUUUUUAGUCUACCAACUACCAACUAAUGAAGGUGCCUGUUAAAUAAUAACUAUCGAUAUGCUUCCUUACAGGACAGAAUCAAUAGUAAAUAAAAAAUAAAUCUGAUGGGGGAUUAAUUCUCUUUAAAGGAAACGAUCUUAAAAACAAAGAAACGGGUGACUAGAAAUUUGAUGUAAGAUAGAUACACAUGAUGAUAUGUGUGAGCUAUAAGAACAUCCCUAAUAUUACAUAUAGUUCUCUAGCAAUCUUUUAGGUGGCAUAGUACUAGAUUGAGAGGAACCCAUACCUGCAUGGCAAGUGAUUCACAUUCCAUUUUGCUGAAGCUGAAACAUAUGACUGGAUCAUACUGACGCUGAAUAAUCAUUUUCACCAUUUUAAAUAUGUCACUAUCCUCGCCUGCUUUACCAACAACUAACCCUUUCUGCCAUUUUCCAUUCUCUCUUUUUCUGUCACCUUCAGUGAUGGGAGAGAGCGCAUUUAAAGCUUUCUGAAAGCUAUCCUCUCGAAACUUUCCUUUUUCAUCAACAGCUAAAUACAGACCACUGCCCCCCGAAGGGAAGAUAUAAUGUUGAAGGGGUGUUGGUCGGUAAUCAGUAUAAACAAUAUGACAUGGUUGCUGGUGGACCUGCAUUCUGGGAGAUAAUGUUAAUACCAUCAUGCAUGCUUCUAAAAUUUAGAUAAAACAAGCACAAUUCAGAGGACUAUUAAUUUGACAAAUUAGCCAUAUCUUCGUUCUCCAAAAAUUUACCAUUUGGCAAGGAUAACUCCAUACUUCUCUCAAUGAGAAAGCAGCGCGGCUGACACUGAUUUGUGUUCACAAGUCACAUAAUUUAUCAAGUGCAAAAUGUAGGGAUAAGAGAAAAAAUGUAGAGUGAACAGUAACUUGAAACAAAGGAACAACAAAAAGAAGUGAGAAAAAGGAAAUGAAGUCAAGGAAGCGACAGGAUACAAAAGCUGGUAAUGUUUUCAAAUUUCAAGCAACAGUGAUUAUUUAACCAAAGGAUAGAAGCUACUCAAAAUCACCUUUGCAACCCAAUCAGCAAACUCCUUUGCAUUGGGCACUGUAGCAGAGAGGAAAACAAAUCUAGAGUUCUUUGGGGCCAUUACAAUACUCUCUUCCCAUACAACACCUCUCUCUCUGUCUCGCAUGUAAUGCACCUCAUCAAAAAUAAUCCACGCCACCUCCCUUAUAACCUCCGAUCCUUUGUACUGCAUGCUUCGCCAGAUCUCUGUUGUCAUCACCUGAAAAAAAUGAAGACCCAGCUUAGCAAUGCAAAGAAGUGGAUACACAUUCAAGACACGUGAAUAGAAACAAAAAAAUAUCAAACCUACCAAGCAAGAGGCGUUGGGAUCAAUUGUGACAUCACCUGUCAUCAACCCCACAUCUGAAUACUCUUCUUUGAACUCUCUGUACUUCUGGUUGCUGAGAGCUUUGAUUGGUGAUGUAUAUAUAACACGUUGCUUGUUCUGCAGCGACAUGGCAAUAGCAUAUAAUGCCACAACUGUCUUACCCGCAGAUGUGUGCGCUGAGACCUAAAGAUACACUUAAAAAUCAGUUAUGCUUCCAUCUAAAUCUUUCAUCAUGCAUACAACAAAUCACUUUGGCUCCAUUUGGAAAUGAAGAGCUAAGCAAAGAAAUUGAAUUUUCUUUUCUUCUCUCCCACUACCAAAAUUUUCAAAUUCAGUUUUAACAUGAAAGUUGAAACUAUAUGCAUAAAUUUUGAACAUCUCUUUCUUCACAACGUUGUGUACUCAUAUCCUUUGAGAUUUCCAACAUAUUCAAACAUAAGAAAAUGGUUUCCUCCGUUUCCGUCAACUAAAUCUAAAAUAAACAAGAAUCAAAAUUCUCUGUAGGUAAGUUUUGAUUACUUUACCAUGACUGACUCGCCAUGGUGGAUGCAUCUGAUGGCUUCGGACUGAAAAGGGUCAAGCUUGAAUGGAAACUCCUUAGCUGGUUUUGCAUCUUCUUGGGUUGCCAUGGUGGAAUUUAACACACGAGGCACGUACCCUUGAGGAUAUGACACAUCGUGCACACAUGCGACAGAGCCAUCCAAACCUACCAAAUCAUUCUCUCUAUGUUGUUUCAGUGGCGGAGACUCGGUAUCCUCCAUUGUGCCCUCCAAUGACUUCCUCUUCAAAGACUCCAUAUUUCCUUCGCACAUACACAUAAUUAGAUAAAAAUCGUAAUCAGCAGAUUAUAUAUGCAUGUAUGCGUAGACUGUUAGGCAUACACUUUUCAAAACCCUGGAAUUUUCUAGGGUUUUUCUUGUGCAAGUAUUUCACUGGUUACACUUGAGGCGCGCGGUUCUUAAGGCAAGGAGAAAACCAUAAACAGACACAUAAAAUUUUCAAGGUGACAGAGGCGAAGCCACCUGGGGGCAACUGCCUCCACUGGAUUUUGGUCCUGGAUAUUUCAUCUAUAACACUUGAGGAGCGGCCAGUUUUAAAGGCAAGGAGAAAACAACCGCAUCAAAAAUUCAAGAGACAUGAUGUCGAAAAAACCCACGUUUCUACGGGAAGAUUACCAUCAAGAAACAACAAUUUUGGAAAAAUAAAUAAAUUAUAAGGAGUUAAUUGAGUUGAAAUUAAAUCAUUCACAACAAUCAGAUAAAGUGCGGUUUCAACAACACUAAUAAAAUUCGAUAAUACCUUCUAAUUCGUUGAUGAAGAGGUAGAAUGGAAAUCUAUGCAACACAAGAUAACUUGGUGCCUGUGACCCUCUUUGCCUCUUCCCUAAUUCCCACCGUUAUACAGAAGAAGAAAACCUCGGUCGCUUGUAGCCCUUAGCUCAAUGAAUAAGACUUGAAGAGGCCUGGGCUAUAAUUGGAUUAAUGUGUAUGCAUUUUAAUUGGGCUUUAGAUUUUUCCCCAUUCUAAUCUAAUCUAUUUCUUGAAUGGGCUGAUUUAAGUAAUAAAUGAACGAGAAAAUUUUAUAAAUAAGAGUUUAAAUAUUACACAUUUUAAAAUAAAAAAAUAAGUUUCAAAUUUUAAAAAUCAAAUGGCCCAAUCAAAUAUUUCACAACUUUUUUAGGCCCAACUUACUAUAAAAAUGUUUUUGAGACCCUUUUUAUGUUAAAAUGUUCAAUUUAUCCUUGUACAUAUUGUUGAAAUAUCUCAAAUGCCCUUAGUAUAUAAUGACCAAAAUGCCCAAUUUUCAUAUUAUAAUCAUUAAUUUUCUUUUUUUGAAAUUCCAGCGUCUUCCCCUCCUCCUCCUCUCCUUUUUCUUUAGUUUAUCUAAUCUUCUACUUCUUUGUUCUUUUUUCUUUUCUAGUUUUACUCGAAGCAUAAAAAAGCACAUUAAAAAACAAACCCUUAUAUUUCUACAUUUUAUAUUGGUGAGAUAUUCUUCUCCCUUACUUUUAGUUAUUUUUUCAUUUGCACAUAUAUUCAUUGUCAUUUCUGUUUAUUUAAGUAUUUGAAUUCAUUUUCGAUCUCAAGUGACUUUUGAAAGCAGAAUCUCGUAUACUUUAGUGACAGAAUCGGAAUGGACAUUUAUAACCACUUGGGUCGUUUUAGUCGUUUUAAACGACCAUAGAAACGGCUACAAGUUACAGUUACUAUAGCUUACAAUAAUUGCUAUUUGCUAACUUUCUAAAAUAUUACUAUUCUAAUUACAGAUAUGAACUCAACAACAUGAAUUGCCAUAUUUUAUUUUGGUGAUUUUAUUAAUGAUGAUGAAGGAAAAUAGAUAUGGAAACGUAGCGAGGAUGAUGAAAUGGUGGAAGGAGUUCCAAUAUUUUUAGAUACUUCAUAUCACGAUCUAUAUUGUGAAGUGCUAAACAUUUGCAAAGUUGAUUCAUCUUCGCAUGAAAUUGAGAUGAGAUUUCUUCUACCUGGAAAUGGACAGUUUUCAAUUCCAACUAAAAUUACUUCAGAUAGGCAAGUGCAGUGGUUGCUAUCUCUCAAUCAAAAAAAUUCUCAUUGUCCAAUUUGUGUAAUUCUUGUGACCAAAGAUCCAGUUGACCAUCCACAAGAAAAAGACAACGAUCCAUUUUAUGAAGUGGAAGACGAUGAAGUUCAUUGUAAAAUGCAAAAUGAAGGCAGCAAUCUUCAUUGUGAAACGCAAGCAGAUGACCACAAUGAAGUGGAUCGGACUGAGAACAUUAAUUGGGAUGAGUUGGAGAUAGCUGAAGAUAAUGGUGUGGAUAAAACUGAAAAUGGUAACACUAUUGUCUUUUCUACACAUGAAUCCGAGAUUCUUCAAAACAAUAGAGAAGAAAAUCUUUUUACUAAUAAGCAUCUUGUAGCUUCAACUCUUUCGUCACAUGUGAGUCCCGAAAAUGCGGAGUUAGAAGAUCGUCAAAUUUUCAACAGCAAAAAAGAUCUUAUGAUGGAAGUUCACAUGCUUACAAUGAAGUACAAUUUUGAAUUUAGAGUGAAGAAAUCAAAUAAGAAAGUCUAUACAAUCGUUUGCAUAGAUGAAAAUUGCAAAUGGCGCUUGCGAGCAAUGAAAUUCAAAAAUUGUGAUUACUUUCAAAUUCGCAAGUAUGUGCGUGAACAUACUUGCUCGGUGAGUAUUCGUCGAAAUGAUCAUAGACAGACAGAUCAUGGGUUGUUGGAAGACAUAUAAUGCCUAAAUUUCAAAAUUCCAACACUGUAUAUAGACUUACAAACAUCAUUGAUGACAUGCGUCGGGAAUUCGAGAUAGAAAUGAGUUAUUAGAGGGCACAAAAGUCACGAGAAUAUGCUUUUGAACUUUUAAGAGGUUCCCCUGAGGAUAGUUAUGCUAAAUUGGGCUUAUAUUCUCAUAAUUUGGCUAGAACUAAUCCUGGAAUAGCAAUGUCCUUAGAGAUUGACAAUGAGAACCGCUUCAAGUACUUUUUUAUGGCUCUUGGACAUUGCACUCGGGGAUUUCACUCUUCGAUGCGGAAGGUAGUUGUCGUUGAUGGAACAUGUUUGACUGGAAAAUAUAAAGGUACCCUAAUUGUUGCUACUUGUCAAGAUGCAAAUAUUCAAAUUUAUCUUCUUGCUUGGGGUAUAGUUGAUUAUGAGAAUGAUGCAUCGUGGACUUGGUUUUUUAUGAAGUUGAAAGAAGUGUUAUAUCUGAUCGACAUCCAAGUAUUAUCAAUGGAGUUCGAGCUGUCUAUCAAAGUGCCCAUCAUGGUCAAUGCAUAUAUCAUGUAAAAGGUAACUUAAGGAUACUAACUCAAAAAACUGAGAUUUUCCUACUGUUUAAGAAAGCAGCAGAGGCAUAUACCUUAGAAAAGUUUGGAAAUUAUAUAAGCAAAAUUGAGAGAAUUGAUAUCAAAGUUUGGGAUUAUUUAGUCAAAAUACCUUUCCAUACGUGGGCUAGGUCACACUUUCAGGGGAACCGUUACAAUAUCAUGUCAUUGAAAAAUGCAAUCAUUGAAUUCUGUCUUUAAGAAAGAUCGAUAGAAUUUGAUGCUUGCGCUAAUUGAGAGUAUUAGAAAAAGAUUGCAAAAAUGGUUUUAUGAGAAGUGUACAAAUGCACAGAACUGUACUAGUACUCUAACGCUAAUAAUUGAAAGGAAACUGCGUAAGAAUGUUGAUAAAGCCAAGAAGUUUGUUGCCGAACCGAUCGAUCAGUUUACAUAUGAAGUGAGAAACGACACCAUGAAUUUUAUUGUUAACCUGGAUGAAAAAACUUGUACUUGUAGACGGUUUCAAUUAGAACAUUUACCUUGUGAGCAUGCAGUAGCUGCGGUGAAGAAGAGUGGCUAUUCAAUUUACUUGUUCUACUCUCUGUAUUAUACUGUUGAGUAUUGGAGAGUAGCUUAUAACGAUACUAUUUUUCCUAUGCCAAAUGAAGUUGAUUGGGAAAUUCCUGAAAAUUUUGGCUUCCUCAAUGUGUUGCCGCCAUUAGUACGACGACGAGGUGGACGUACAAAAACAACAAGAAUUCCAUCUACUGGAGAGUUUCCCAAAAGACACAAAUGUAGUAGGUGUGCCGCAACUGGGCACAACCGGCUAACAUAUACAAGUCAAAUACCUUUAGUCGAUAGAAGAUUGGAGGAUUAGUAUAUUAUUUGUUUAGUUGAUAGAAUGUCAUGACAAGUUAUUACAAUUUAUGUUUUAUGUUAUUACUUUUUGUCAUAAUUCAUCCCAAAUUUGUAUUUUAUGAAUAUUGGCUAGUUUUCUCAUAGUUGUUUAUUUCAUAUGAUAAGUGAUAGUCGAAAAACAACUUUGAUCGUUAUCAUAGUUCCCUAAAAACAAAAGCAACUCCAGUCGUUUAAAAUGACCAGAGUCGUUUUGUAAGAAAACGACCGCAGUUGCUUUAAACGACUCUAGUCGUUUACAUAAAAACGAUUGCAGUCCUGUAACACGACUUUAGUCGUUUUUCAAAUUUUCAUCUCAUUUUUUGCUUAUACGCUCGUUUUUCUAUACAUUUUUGUACAAAAUAGUUUGAAAUCUAACCUAACAAGAUUUAAAAUGUUAUACAUUAUGAUUUUGCUUAUUCAAACACGAUCUAUAAUGUUAGAAGUUCGAUGCUCACCUCACCUCACCUCACAUUAUACAUUACUAUAAGUAUCAUACUUAGAAUCUAAAUACGGUAUACUUUAAUCAUAAUAUAAGUAGAGCACGAUCAAUUAUAUGUAACAAAGUUCGUCUUCUUAUUCAUUUUAAACUAAUAAGUCGGAACAAAACACGAUCCGUAAUGUUAGAAGUUCGAUGCUCACCUCAUAUUACAUUAUACACUACUGUAAGUAGCAUACUUAGAAUCUAAAUACGGUAUACUUGAAUCACAAUGUAAGUAGAGCACGAUGAAUUGUAUGUAACAAAGUUCGUCUUCUUAUUCAUUUUAAACUAAUAAGUUGAAACCAAACACGAUCUAUAAUGUAAGAGUUCAAUUCUCAUAUCAUAUAAUCAUUAUACAUUACUAUAAGUAGCAUACUUGAAUAUUGUUUGAAGAGCAUGAUAAAUUGUAGGUAAUGAAGUUCGUCUACCUAUACAUUUAUAAACGAAAUAAAUUAUAAAUAAUUAGUACUGUUUAGGAAAACGACUACAAUCGUUUAAAAAGCCUGUAGUCGUUUAAAAAUACUACAGUCUUUUUGUUAAAAACGACUGCAGUCUUUUUAAACAACUUCGGUCAUUUUGAAAAAGUUCGACAUAAUCUCUCUUGUAAUAUAAACUAAAUCAACUUGAAAAAUAAACUGCUAUUGAUAACACAAAAAACCCCACAUUGAACAUAAACUAUAAAAGUAUAUUCAUAAACAUACAAAUACAUCGAAUGUUCCUAAGGAUUAAAAUCUAGGGCAAAAAUAUCGGUAGCCAUCUUUUCUCUCCAUCUAUUCAUAUAGAAGCCAUUAACUUGUUCUACCGGACCGUUGAUGCUCAAGAAUUCUAUAUAUUUUACUACGUAGAUACCACAAUCGCCCUUAAAAGAUAACAAGUAAUGGUAAAUGAAGUAAAAUGAUUAAAUUAAUAAGAACAAAAUAUUUAAUUGUAAUUAAAAAAACUUACGAAAUGGCUUGUUUAGUGGUUUUGGUAUUCCUUUCUAUAGCAAGAUUAUCUGUGUCCAAAUCGAUGUUGAUUUCCUUCAAAAGUAGCGGGACAAUGAUACUAGUAGUCUUCAAGUCAUCCUUGAGUUGAUCGCUCGUAAUGCAACCCUUAUCAGGAUCAUACACAAACAUUGUUGCUUUGCAAAAGUCAAUCUCAACUGCGAGCCAAUAUCCACGAGUACAUAAUGGAAAGUAUACAUGUGUACAUUCCUGCCAUUUCCUUCCAAAUGAUGGCUUUGCCUCGGUGCGGCAUUCUAAAACGAUCUCCUCUCUCGUGUAAAUCAAACAAGGCAAAGUUCAAUUCAUUAUUAAAUUGCACGUCCAGAAUAGCUUGUGAACCACCAAAUGACUUGGCAUAUUUUUUUGCCCAAGCUCGCAACAAAUGCAAUGCCAUGUCAACAUAUUGAAAGUUGCAUACAUAGUUAUAUACAAAUCAAUUGAACAAUACAAGUGAUGAGUUAACAUACUUACAUCAUCUAGAAACCAUCCCCCUAGUGUCAACACAUUGUUAAACCAUUUUUUUAUGUCUUCUAAGUUGACAUGACCCAAUUUAUAUGAUACAUUGACAAAAAAAAUACAAAAUUAUAAAAUAAUACAAGUGACAAGAAAAAAAAUCAAAGUCAAUGAAUUGGUAAAGAUGGUUACCCAUCGCCUAAACUGGAGUGUCAUUUGGAGAAUUGCUUCUUCUUAACUGGGUCAACAUCCCGAAAAGGAUCAACACGCAUGCCAUCAACAUGUCUUCUCCACUUAGCUCCAGUCGUGUAUGGAGAAGAAACUAACUUUGAAGCUUUUUUAAGUCUUUUAUCUCGCAUCAGGGCAUCAGUUUGGUGAUAAGUUUUACCUAAAUUUUUCCUUUUGCGAGUAAAAACCUUAGCGUACAUCCUUGUCCUCUCAUUACUCCCCUCUUCAAUGUCAACUACAUACAUCUCCCUCU
rnacentral:lncRNA from 1 species